rnacentral:rRNA from 1 species
UUUUUAUAGAAUUUUAUUUUUUAGUCAAAAAGCUAAAAUAAAUUUAAAAGACGAGAAGACCCUAUAAAUCUUUAUAUUUUAUUUAUUUUAAUUAUAAAGAUUAUUUUUGUUAUAAUAAAUAAAAAUAUUUUAUUGGGGUGAUAUUAAAAUUUAAAAACUUUUAAUUUUAAAAUCCAUUAAUUUAUGUAUAAUUGAUCCAUUAAUAAUGAUUAAAAAUUUAAGUUACUUUAGGGAUAACAGCGUAAUUUUUUU